rnacentral:rRNA from 1 species
GCAGUCGAACGAUGAUGCCAGCUUGCUGGUGGAUUAGUGGCGAACGGGUGAGUAACACGUGAGUAACCUGCCCUUAACUCUGGGAUAAGCCUGGGAAACUGGGUCUAAUACCGGAUAUGACUCCUCAUCGCAUGGUGGGGGGUGGAAAGCUUUUUGUGGUUUUGGAUGGACUCGCGGCCUAUCAGCUUGUUGGUGAGGUAAUGGCUCACCAAGGCGACGACGGGUAGCCGGCCUGAGAGGGUGACCGGCCACACUGGGACUGAGACACGGCCCAGACUCCUACGGGAGGCAGCAGUGGGGAAUAUUGCACAAUGGGCGAAAGCCUGAUGCAGCGACGCCGCGUGAGGGAUGACGGCCUUCGGGUUGUAAACCUCUUUCAGUAGGGAAGAAGCGAGAGUGACGGUACCUGCAGAAGAAGCGCCGGCUAACUACGUGCCAGCAGCCGCGGUAAUACGUAGGGCGCAAGCGUUAUCCGGAAUUAUUGGGCGUAAAGAGCUCGUAGGCGGUUUGUCGCGUCUGCCGUGAAAGUCCGGGGCUCAACUCCGGAUCUGCGGUGGGUACGGGCAGACUAGAGUGAUGUAGGGGAGACUGGAAUUCCCUGGUGUAGCGGUGAAAUGCGCAGAUAUCAGGAGGAACAC